AUCCUUCUGGUUCUUACAUAUGAUGACUGGGUAUGUCAUGCGAUUGCGUGAAAUGUGCAUCCGUUCUUGUUACGACUUGGCACAUUACCCAUCUGAUC